UACGGAGGGUGCAAGCGUUGUUCGGAUUUACUGGGCGUAAAGCGCGCGCAGGUGGGUGAACAAGUCGGAAGUGAAAUCUUGAGGCUCAACCUCGAGGCUGCUCCCGAAACUGUUCGCCUAGGGACUGGUAGAGGCUGGUAGAAUUCCCGGUGUAGCGGUGGAAUGCGUAGAGAUCGGGAAGAAUACCUGUGGCGAAGGCGGCCAGCUGGGCCAGAUCCGACACUGAUGCGCGAAAGCCAGGGGAGCGAACGGG
rnacentral:rRNA from 1 species